GCGCCAUUCAAGUUCAACUGCACAAAAGACACCCUCUUCUUAAUAACCAAAGAACCACAAAAUUGAAAAGCAAAUACGGAUUCCAUGACUUCAAUUGAAUUUGAACACUAGCAUAUAGCUUAAAUCAUCAUCCCAUGAAACUACAGAAACCACAAUUUCAGCUACGAAUAUGCUACUGCUUCUUAAAGUGAGAUCAACGCUAAAGAAAGAGACGAUGAAAACGAAGAGAAGACAUUUCAUUUCCAUAAAAGAGAGCGAGAACUUCAUGGGUUU
rnacentral:misc_RNA from 1 species